UACGUAGGGUGCAAGCGUUGUCCGGAAUUAUUGGGCGUAAAGAGCUCGUAGGCGGUUUGUCGCGUCUGCUGUGAAGACCCGAGGCUCAACCUCGGGCCUGCAGUGGGUACGGGCAGACUAGAGUGCGGUAGGGGAGAUUGGAAUUCCUGGUGUAGCGGUGAAAUGCGCAGAUAUCAGGAGGAACACCAGUGGCGAAGGCGGCAUCCUGGACCGGUAUUGACGCUGAGGCGCGAAAGCUAGGGUAGCAAACGGG
rnacentral:rRNA from 1 species